rnacentral:tRNA from 1 species
GUCGUUGUAGUAUUGUGGUGAGUAUCCCCGCCUGUCAUGCGGGAGACUCAGGUUCGAUCCCCGGCAAUGGCG